rnacentral:rRNA from 1 species
CACGAACGCUGGCGGCAGGCUUAACACAUGCAGGUCGAGCGCCCCGCAAGGGGAGCGGCAGACGGGUGAGUAACGCGUGGGAAUCUACCCAUCUCUACGGAAUAACGCAUGGAAACGUGUGCUAAUACCGUAUACGUCCUUCGGGAGAGAGAUUUAUCGGAGAUGGAUGAGCCCGCGUUGGAUUAGCUAGUUGGUGGGGUAAAGGCCUACCAAGGCGACGAUCCAUAGCUGGUCUGAGAGGAUGAUCAGCCACACUGGGACUGAGACACGGCCCAGACUCCUACGGGAGGCAGCAGUGGGGAAUAUUGGACAAUGGGCGCAAGCCUGAUCCAGCCAUGCCGCGUGAGUGAUGAAGGCCCUAGGGUUGUAAAGCUCUUUCACCGGUGAAGAUAAUGACGGUAACCGGAGAAGAAGCCCCGGCUAACUUCGUGCCAGCCGCCGCAGUAACAC